rnacentral:rRNA from 1 species
AUUGAACGCUGGCGACAUGCCUUACACAUGCAAGUCGAACGGCAGCACGGGUGCUUGCACCUGGUGGCGAGUGGCGAACGGGUGAGUAAUACAUCGGAACAUGUCCUGUAGUGGGGGAUAGCCCGGCGAAAGCCGGAUUAAUACCGCAUACGAACUACGGAUGAAAGCGGGGGACCUUCGGGUCUCGCGCUUUAGGGUUGGCCGAUGGCGGAUUAGCUAGUUGGUGGGGUAAAGGCCUACCAAGGCGACGAUCAGUAGCUGGUCUGAGAGGACGACCAGGCACACUGGGACUGAGACACGGCCCAGACUCCUACGGGAGGCAGCAGUGGGGAAUUUUGGACAAUGGGCGAAAGCCUGAUCCAGCAAUGCCGCGUGUGUGAAGAAGGCCUUCGGGUUGUAAAGCACUUUUGUCCGGAAAGAAAUCCUUGGCCCUAAUACGGUCGGGGGAUGACGGUACCGGAAGAAUAAGCACCGGCUAACUACGUG